UCCGGAUUUAUUGGGCGUAAAGCGUCCGCAGGUGGCUAUACAAGUCUGCUGUUAAAGCGUGGGGCUUAACUCCAUACAGGCAGUGGAAACUGUAAAGCUAGAGUCUGGUAGGGGUCACGGGAAUUCCCAGUGUAGCGGUGAAAUGCGUAGAUAUUGGGAAGAACACCAGCGGCGAAAGCGCGUGACUGGACCGGAACUGACACUCAUGGACGAAAGCUAGGGGAGCGAAAGGG
rnacentral:rRNA from 1 species